AGUGAACGCUGGCGGCGUGCCUAAUACAUGCAAGUCGAACGGAGUGGCGCACGGGUGAGUAAGGUAUAGCUAAUCUGCCCGCCACUAGAGGACAACAGCUGGGAACGGCUGCUAAUACUCCAGAGUGUAGGAUGGGGCUAUAUUGUAUCAGCUAGUUGGUGAGGUAAUGGCUCACCAAGGCUAUGACGCAUAACUGGUCUGAGUGGAUGAUCAGUAAACCUGGAACUGAGCCACGGUCGGGGAUCCUGCGGGAGGCAGCGGUAGGGAGUAUUGCUCAAUGGGGGUGACCCUGGAGUGGCUACGCCGCGUGAAGGAUGACACUUUUCGAAGCGUAAACUCCUUUUGUUAGGGAAGCGGUACCUAACGAAUAAGCACCGGCUAACUCCGUGCCAGCAGCCGCGGUAAUUC
rnacentral:rRNA from 1 species